ACGAACGCUGGCGGCGUGCUUCACACAUGCAAGUCGAACGGAAAGGCCCUGCUUUUGUGGGGUGCUCGAGUGGCGAACGGGUGAGUAACACGUGAGUAACCUGCCCUUGACUUUGGGAUAACUUCAGGAAACUGGGGCUAAUACCGGAUAGGAGCUCCUGCUGCAUGGUGGGGGUUGGAAAGUUUCGGCGGUUGGGGAUGGGCUCGCGGCUUAUCAGCUUGUUGGUGGGGUAGUGGCUUACCAAGGCUUUGACGGGUAGCCGGCCUGAGAGGGUGACCGGCCACAUUGGGACUGAGAUACGGCCCAGACUCCUACGGGAGGCAGCAGUGGGGAAUAUUGCACAAUGGGCGGAAGCCUGAUGCAGCAACGCCGCGUGCGGGAUGACGGCCUUCGGGUUGUAAACCGCUUUCGCCUGUGACGAAGCGUGAGUGACGGUAAUGGGUAAAGAAGCACCGGCUAACUACGUG
rnacentral:rRNA from 1 species